rnacentral:rRNA from 1 species
GACGAACGCUGGCGGCGUGCUUAAAACAUGCAAGUCGAACGGAAAGGCCCUGCUUGCAGGGUACUCGAGUGGCGAACGGGGGAGUAACACCUGGGUGAUCUGCCCUUCACUUCGGGAUAAGCCUGGGAAACUGGGGCUAAUACCGGAUAGGAGCCAGUUUUAGUGUGGUGGUUGGAAAGUUUUUUUGGUGUAGGAUGAGCUCGCGGCCUAUCAGCUUGUUGGUGGGGUAAUGGCCUACCAAGGCGGCGACGGGUAGCCGGCCUGAGAGGGUGGACGGCCACAUUGGGACUGAGAGACGGCCCAGACUCCUACGGGAGGCAGCAGUGGGGAAUAUUGCACAAUGGGCGCAAGCCUGAUGCAGCGACGCCGCGUGGGGGAUGACGGCCUUCGGGUUGUAAACUCCUUUCGCUAGGGACGAAGCUUUUUGUGACGGUACCUAGAGAAGAAGCACCGGCUAACUACGAG